UGGGGAAUAUUGGUCAAUGGGGGAAACCCUGAACCAACAACGCCGCGUGAAGGAAGAAGGCCUUCGGGUUGUAAACUUCUUUGACAGGGGAAGAAAAAAAUGACGGUACCCUGAAAACAAGCCACGGCUAACUACGUGCCAGCAGCCGCGGUAAUACGUAGGUGGCAAGCGUUGUCCGGAUUUACUGGGUGUAAAGAGCACGUAGGCGGGACUGCAAGUCAGAUGUGAAAUUUAGAGGCUCAACCUCUAAACUGCAUUUGAAACUGUGGUUCUUGAGUGAUGGAGAGGCAGGCGGAAUUCCGAGUGUAGCGGUGAAAUGCGUAGAUAUUCGGAGGAACACCAGUGGCGAAGGCGGCCUGCUGGACAUUAACUGACGCUGAGGUGCGAAAGCGUGGGGAGCAAACA
rnacentral:rRNA from 1 species